CAGGCAUCCCUAUAAUGGUCUUCUAAAAAGAUUUAACAUCAACAAAGAAAAUAACACAUACUAGUUUUCUUUAGCUACUGUAACAAAUUAUAAAUUUGGUGGUUUAGAACAUCACACAUUUAUUCUCUCAUGGUUCUGGGGGCCAGAAGUUCAAAAUCGGUUUCUCUGGGCUAAUAUGAAGAUGUCACAGGGCUGUGCUGUCUCUGGAGCUUCCGAGGAAGAAACUGUUUGCUGGCUUUUUCCAGCCUUGGGUGGCUGCUGGCAUCUCUUGGUUCAUGGCCCCUUCCUCUCUCUGCAAAGCCAUCGGUUUAGCAUCUUCACAUCUCCCUCUUUUUCUGUCAUCCUCACACCUCGUCCUUUCUCUUCUAUGACAAAUAUCUCCUGCUCCCUCUUAGAAGGACACUUGUGAUAGCAUUUAGGGCCCCCUGGAUAAUCCAUGAUAGUCUCCCCCCGACACAAGAUCCUUAAUUUCAUCCCAUCUACCAAGACCCUUUUUCCUUGUAAGAUAAUAUUCAAAGACUCCAGGGAUUAUGACGUGGGUAUCUUUGGGGUCAUUAUUCAAAGUUCAAAAAAUAGUUUGCUAAAUGAUAAUAAUAGUAGUAGUAGUAGUAAUAAUAAUAACAAUACAGUGCAUACUAUGUGCUGGAUGCUCUAUUAAGCAUAUCGGGGUAUGGGUGUGUAUGUAAUCAUUUGUUUCUCAUUUUGAGGAUUUUUUACUGAGGCCUAUUAGGAAAUGCAAGAGACCCUUUGGGCUACCUACAUCACCCACUUCAAUCUUGUACUGGUAAAAUAAUUUAGUUAUUUUAGUAAUAGGAAUGAAAAGUUAUUAUUAAAGAAGUUUACAGAGAAAAAGGGAAGUAGAAGGAUUGUCUACCCAUUUGGGCUUCCAAUAGGAGUACAAUCAUUUAAACUUGAAAUGCACUGUGCAUUUAUCUCAAAGUAUAAUCACUGGAAGGUUGUAAGCCCCCAAAAUGUGGUCGAUGCAACAACUUAACGAUACAUAAGUUAAUUAGACAGGCGACGAUAAACCAUGUGGACAGCAAGGAAGCUAAACUAAUGGGAAUUGAUGGCUCCAAGAACAAAAAGAGCCAGUGUGGAAACUAUAACAAUCUUCUAAUAACACUAAUGACAAGAUGUGCUUCCCGAGCACAGCAGAGGUUCCACCCGGUACCUGUGGGGGGCAUGGGCAGCAGGAACUUCUGUGGAGUCACAAGCAUCGCCUAGCAACCAGUCCACUGAAUUACAUACAGUCUUUCAUAAGCUGUAGAAUUACGAUAAUUUUUACUACCAACACUGGCUUUUAUUAAUUCUCAGAGGCUCACUGUAAUUAGCAAGUCUCGAUAAUAAUGAUGACGAGACUUACAUAUUUGAGCCCUUACUGUGUGGAGACUAUGGAGCUAAACUAGUGCAGAUUAAUUUCUUAAUCUCCUCUGGAUAGGGAUUAUGAAUCUGAGGCACAGCGAAAUCAAGUAGCUUGCUCCAAGGUACACAUGCCUAAAAAGCAAGGGAACUGGGGGAGGAUCUCAGGCAGCCCCUAAGAGUAAGAAUCAAAGGCUAUGGAAUAGUUUGGGCCAAUCUUUGAGAAUCAUUGUUCUAGGCAUUUAGGCUGCUGCUGCUUCCGGGGUUGAUGUACGUAACUAUAAGCAAUUUUUUGACCUCUACGGAAGCCACCUUAGGAUUUGAUUUUAGUUAUCGUUUGCCUAUAGUUUUCCUCCCUGAAAUUGUCAGCUCCUGGAGAGCAGACAAGUCAACUUGUUCUUUUGUUUUCUAUGGACCCUAGAGAAAUGUGUAGCAUGUCUUAAUGGCUCAAAGUAGGUCAACACUCUUCCUUUGACGGUUUCACAAAGUGGAGCUGACCACUGUAUUUUACGUCUCUGCUGAUGUCCAACAUUUUAUUUUAGUAAACAUGUAGCCAGCACUAGCCUCAGUCAUGGGGGAGAGGGGUGAUAAAUGCAUGUGUGACCCUCCCCGCUCUGGAAGUUUGCAUCCAAUGGGGGAGACAGAUGUUGAAAGAGCCAUUGGUCUGACACACGAAGAGCUGCCAUCCGACCAUGCCAUAAGGGUGCUACUUCUAAAGGAAGAUUCAGGGAAGGACUUGGGCCGCUACGACCUGGGUGUUGUAAGGAGAGCGCGGAGCCACCCCCGUGGGCACAGGCUGCAUUUCAGCCCCCGAGGGCUGUUCCCACCUCCGCGGGCGCGGUGGGGCAGUUCUGGUUUCCACCUGCGAAGCGAGCCUGCAUGGGAAGCAGGCUGGCGAGCAGAGGGUACUACGGCCCAGUGGGUCCUGGUGGGUCCCAACGUGUAUGAUGACAACCUGCCUCCUGCAGGUGCCAGAGCAGGAAUAAAUAAGUAAAAUCUUUUAAAAGCAAACACACCAAAAAACCCAAACCCCCCUAAACGGAAAGGUGGUUUUCCUGCAACUUUUCAGCACAGCAGCAAGAAGGCGAGGUUUGGGUGACCUCAGGCUGCGUGGGGGGAGCAGGACAGAGGAGCCGCUGCCACCAGGUCCCCACAGGAGCAGCGACAGUGGGACAGGUUCCAGGCCACGAUGCUCCAGGGUUUCUCCCCACCCCACCCACCCGGCCACAGGGUCACUCGUGGUUACUUGCAUCUUAGGACUUGGUGCCUGUGUCCUGGGGCUGGUUCCUUCUGGAUUCGGGCUGUUGUCCCCGCUUCCUAGAGCCCCUGGGUGUUGGCCAAGGAGCCUUGGCAGGAGGAGGUGGUUCUCACGCUGGGAGCCUGUCCCUCUAGGGGCUCAGUUCCCCCGGGGAGUGGCUGCGGGUCAGCCCAGGGGUCCCGUGCAGGAGCUGCGAUAGGUGUGAUCAGCAGCAUCUUGAAAGUGGGGAUACCACCCCGUAGCCCAGGAAUUGUGCUCGGGGCCAUCUCGGUGGUCAGCGGCGGACGGAGAUUCGAGUCCAGCUUCAGCAGACUCUAAAGCCAUCAGUGAUUUCUUAGAAAACUUGUGAGUGUGGCCACAUCGUCCCCAUCACAUGACAGAUCGUCCGUAAGGUAGGCCUACCAUGGAAAGCAUCUUCGAGUGCGUGGAUUCGUGGCCUGGGCUCCGUGCACCCGCCUUCCGAACCUUUCACCUUCCCAAACUAAAACUCUGCACCCACUGAAGAGUAACCCUUAACCCCCUGUGUCCCCCACCCCUGGAAACCACCAUCCUACUCCUGUCUCUAUGGAUUUCACUGUCCUAGUUCUCUCCCACCAGGGGAGCUGCACGGUGCUCGGCCUUUUGCAUCUGGCUCAUUCACCCAGCCCCACGCCGAAGCCGGGGCAUCCGGGGGGACUCCUUCCUCCUAAAGGCCCACUGACACUCCCAGGGCGCCCGUAGGCCUCGUCUGCCGCUGGGCACCCGGCCUGCCACCCUGGUUCUCGGGAGUCAUGUUGCUGUGAGCCCCGCCGCAGCUCUCUAGGUUGGGUCCUUAAGGUCACGCAGCUCUUCCCACACGGCUGGGAGCCCACCGCAGCCUGUCUGUAACCCAGAGCAUCCCCACGGGGCACGAGAGGAAAGAGGAAGGAGCUUCGUUACCCCCCCAACGACUCCCCAACAGAACAGGGGCCACUGGCGUUGCCCCCAUCGCACCUGGUCAUGAAAACAGAAGCCACAGUUCUUCUCACGGUCGCCGACCUCCCAAACAAGAUCUCAUGUUUGAAGUACCGGAGGUUGGGACUUCAACAUGUGAAUCCGAGGGAGCACACGACUCAACACAUGAUAGUGCCCUUGGAGAACUGCUCAAGAGCUCAUUCCUUCACGAUGGGGACAAGAGGAAUGGCUAUUCCACUGCACUUUUGUAAAACUGAGAUGGGUUGAUAGAGAAUGGGAGAGCACAAAGGCAGAGGACAAAGGAGAAGCAGGCUUCCCACAGAGCAGGGAGCCCAACGCGGGGCUCCAUCCCAGGACCCUGGCCGGGAUCAUGACCUGAGCUGAAGGCAGACGCUCAACCUACUGAGCCACCCAGGUGCCCCCCAAAGUUGCUUUAAUAAUAGUACUUAGCGAUUAUUGUUAUUUAUUAAAAGUCUUAUUUAAUAAUUUAAAAAUAUUUGUUAGGGCGCCUGGCUGGCUCAGUCAGUAGAGUGUGAAG